rnacentral:rRNA from 1 species
UACGUAUGGUGCAAGCGUUAUCCGGAUUUACUGGGUGUAAAGGGAGCGCAGGCGGCACGGCAAGCCUGAUGUGAAAGCCCGCGGCCCAACCGCGGGACUGCAUUGGGAACUACCGGGCUGGAGUGCCGGAGAGGUAGGCGGAAUUCCUAGUGUAGCGGUGAAAUGCGUAGAUAUUAGGAGGAACACCAGUGGCGAAGGCGGCCUACUGGACGGUGACUGACGCUGAGGUUCGAAAGCGUGGGGAGCAAACAGG